rnacentral:rRNA from 1 species
UACAGAGGUCUCGAGCGUUAGGCGGAAUCACUGGGCUUAAAGAGUGUGUAGGUGGUUCGUUAAGUACCUUGUGAAAUCCCACGGCUUAACCGUGGAACUGCUUGGUAUACUGGCGGUCUUGAGCCAGCUAGGGGCUACCGGAACAAACGGUGGAGCGGUGAAAUGCGUAGAUAUCGUUUGGAACGCCAAUGGUGAAAACAGGUUGCUGGGAGUGUGCUGACGCUGAGACACGAAAGCCAGGGGAGCAAACGGG